UUACACCAAAUAAAGAAACUAGGUAGCACAACAAUGGAUAACUCCUUAUUCCGUCAUGGUGUUUUGUUAUUGAUAUGCAACUUGUUUUCCCUCAGCUUAUCCCAAUCUCUCUCGAAUCUCACCACUGAUGAACACGCUCUCAUCGCCUUGAAAAACUCCAUCAUUCCAAACCAUAAUAAGCUCGAAAACUGGUCCACUCGCAACCCCAUCUGCGGAUGGACCGGCGUCUCUUGCGGCGCCAAACACCGCCGCGUCACGGCCCUAAAUCUCACUGCCCUCGGCCUCCGAGGAACCCUCCCUCCACAUCUCGGAAACCUAACGUUUCUCCGAUCCCUAGACAUCCGCUCCAACAAUUUCACUGGCGUCUUACCAUCUGAGCUGUCCAAGCUGCGCCGCCUAGAAUAUAUGAACGCCGCUUCUAACAACUUCACCGGCGCAAUACCGUCUUGGCUCGUAGGCUUGUCCCAGCUCCGGCGUCUGUAUCUCCAUAGCAACAGAUUCUCCGGCGGAAUCCCUUCUUCUUUAUUCAAUGUUUCUUCAAGGCUUGAGGUGUUGAACUUGGAGAACAAUCAGUUAAUCAAUGGCUCCAUCCCAGAUGCUAUCUUCAACAUUUCUUCGUUAAUAUAUCUGAAUUUGGGACGGAAUAGACUAUCGGGAAAGAUCCCAAAUAACAUGUGCACUAAUACUCCAAAACUUGGAAUUUUCAUGGUCGGUGGGAAUCAACUUUAUGGGGAGAUUCCGAGAAACAUAGGCAAAUGCAUGGAGCUUGAGGUUUUGGAAUUGCAAGCCAAUUAUUUCAACGGCAAUAUCCCAACUGAAAUCGGAAGUUUGAGUAAGCUCAAGUAUUUAUUACUAUGGCAAAACGAAUUCGAAGGGAGCAUUCCGGAGCAAGUUGGGAAUCUCACUUCUCUGAUAUGGCUAAAUCUUCAAUCUAAUAACGUGACAGGUAGCUUGCCAAAGCAACUCGGGAACCUCACUUCUCUGACUUUCCUAUCCUUUAGUUCUAACAAGAUGACAGGCGAAUUACCAGAGGAGAUUUCUGAUUUGUCAUCCCUGAGUAGCCUGGUUCUGACAAAUAAUUUCUUCAGCGGCGCUAUCCCACGCGGCGUCUUCAACAUAUCAACCUUGCUAAAUUUAGACCUUUCAUACAAUGAUUUUUCCGGUAGUCUUCCUUCAAGCAUAGGCCUCACACUUUUCAAUCUUCAAGAGCUUGCUUUACAAGAUAACAGUUUCAGCGGCCCAAUCCCAACUUCCAUCAACAAUGCUUCUCAGCUUCAAUACCUGAACUUGCAAUCUAAUUCGCUCAGCGGCUCCAUUCCAAGCUUCGCCGAUUUAAGCCUCUUAACUCGCAUACUGCUUGCGGAAAAUAAUUUGAGCGGAGCGAAAUCCCCAACCCAAGAAUUAGAAUUUUUUUCUUCGUUAACUAAUUCUCAGAAUCUUCGACUUAUUCAUGUAUCGUUCAAUCCACUCAACGGUGUCCUCCCUGCUUCCAUUGGGAAUUUAUCCCAAUUUCUUGAGCUCUUCUCUUCAACAAGCGCAGGUAUUCGAGGUGUCAUUCCUUCUGAGAUUGGGAAUCUGAGCGGUUUGGUAAAUUUAAAUUUGUACAACAAUCAGUUGCGUGGUUCGAUUCCGACGACGAUAGGAAAUCUGAAGGAGCUCGGAAGAUUAGUCCUUGCCGGUAAUAAGUUGGAAGGAUCUAUCCCGAUGAAUCUUUGCCGAAUGAGUAGUUUGUCGGAGCUGUACUUGGUAAGCAACGAGGUCGAGGGUCCAAUACCAGAGUGUUUCGGUGAAAUCCAAUCGCUAAGAGUGAUUGAUUUUAGUUCAAACAAGUUCAAUUCCACCAUGCCUUCCAAUUUCUGGAAUCUCACAAACCUCAUCUUUCUAAACUUGUCCUCAAACUAUUUGAGUGGUCAGAUCUCAUCUGAAAUUGAAAAACUGAAGGUGAUCAACCGAAUGGAUUUCUCCUCCAAUCUAUUUUCCGGUGAUAUUCCGAGCACCAUCGACAGCUGUCAAUCGUUGGAGUAUCUAAAUUUAUCCAAUAAUAAACUUGGAGGAUCUAUCCCUCCAUCACUGGGAAACAUCAGAGGUUUGAUGAUGGUGGAUUUAUCUAAUAGUAAUCUUUCUGGAUUGAUACCUGAAUCUUUACAAGACCUCAGAUUCUUGGAGUAUCUUAAUGUGUCUCACAACAGAUUGGAAGGAGAGAUUCCAAAUGGGGGUCCUUUUGCUAACUUCUCAGCUGACUCGUUCAUUGACAACUUUGGUAUGUGUGGUGCAGCAAGAUUUGAAGUGCCGCCAUGUGCAGAAGUUGAUGGAGGAUCAAAAUCAAAGAGUGUUGCUCGAUUAAUGAAGUAUGUUCUUCCCCCGAUCAUCUCAGUGAUGGUUCUAGUGAUCGUUAUUGUUUUUCUCAUGAGACGAAGGAAGCGUGUAAAAGUAACAAUUCCAGUUGAUGCUAAUCGGGUAGGUAUUGCUUGGAGAGUCACUUCAUACAACGAGCUUUCGCGGGGAACAGAUUCUUUCAGUGAGAUGAAUCUACUCGGAAGAGGAAGGUUUGGUGCGGUGUUCAAAGGGACGUUUUCUGAGGGGCUGAAUUUUGCAGCAAAGGUUUUCAAUUUAGAAUUGGAAGGAGGUAACAAGAGCUUCGAAACUGAGAGUAGAAUAUUGAGCACCAUUCGCCACAGGAACUUGGUUCGAGUUAUUGGUUGUUGCACGAAUAUGGAAUUUAAAGCGUUGAUUCUUGAAUUCAUGCCGAAUGGAAGCUUGGAGAAAUGGUUAUAUUCCGACAACUAUUGCAUCGACGUUCUACAGUUGUUGAAUGUCUCAAUAGAUGUUGCUUUAGCUCUGGAAUAUCUUCAUCACGGCAAUACAUUUCCAGUCGUGCAUUGCGAUAUAAAGCCAAGCAAUGUGUUGCUCGAUGAAGACAUGACUGCUCGUGUUGCUGACUUUGGAAUUGCAAAGCUUUUUGAGGAAGGGGAGGCUAUGAUUCAAACUAAAACCUUGGCUACUAUCGGUUAUGCAGCACCAGAGUAUGGAUCAGAAGGAAAAGUAUCGACGAGUGCUGAUGUAUACAGCUUUGGAAUAAUGUUGCUGGAGAUGUUUACGAGAAAGAAGCCUACUGAUGAUAUGUUCAAUGGGGAAAUGAGCUUGAAGGAAUGGGUGAGUGAAGCAUUACAAGGAAAUGCAAUGGAUCAAGUGUUGGACUCUGCUUUGCUAUUAGAAAGAGAUGGUCAUUUUGUUGCAUCUGUGUUUGAAUUGGCAAUGAAAUGUUUAGCCAUUGCGCCCGAUGAAAGAAUCAACAUGAUUGAAGCAGCAACCAGUCUAAAGAAGAUCAAAGCAAAAGUUGUAGCAGGAGUCACCACAAGGCAUCAACAACAUGCAAUUACCAUUACUUGAGAUGAUGGCAAUUUUGUUAGGCUUUCUAACUGUAGUCCAAAUAUAAAAUAGUGAGAUUUCUUGAGAUCAAACUCUCUGCAUUCGCCUAUAUUUCUUGGAAUCUCCCCAUUAAGUUGAUUCGCGGAGAGAGUGAAUUGAUAUAUAUCAACGACGAAGCGUCGACGAUAGUAUCUGGUAUGGAUCCAGUCAACUCUAAAAAAAUUAUUUCUAAUGAAGAAGAAUCACCAGUUUCCUCUGGAAUAGUUCCAUCAAUAAAAUUGUAGUCCUUGAAAUGUUGAAUAAAGAAGUGGGGAUUGUGCCUGAGAAUCUGUAGUUAAAGAGAUACAUAUCCGAACCACGAUGGCAUCUCUCCGGUGUAGUUGUUCACUGCGACGUUUAUUGUAUGCAGCGACGCAGCUUAGACAGCUCAAAUUGUUGGAGCUGAUGUCUAGGGAUCGAAGAAACGUCCGGUUUCCAAGAUUCGGAGCGAUGGAUCCUCGGAGGCUGAGGCCGGUGAGAUUUAGGGCCGCAAGCAAAUGGGGGUGUUAAUGGAGCAGUUGGCGAGGAAGAAGCAUGUUGAUGAGUGGUGAGAUUGAAGAAUAAUGAUUUGGAUGAGGUGAGUGAAAUGUUGGUAAAUAUGAAAAGCACAAGAGCAAAAGUGCCUCCAUUAAUAUGAUAUUUUUUGGUGU